rnacentral:rRNA from 1 species
AAGGGUAGCAAUACCUGAGUACAGUGGCGCACGGGUGAGUAACACGUGAAUUAUCUACCUUCGAGUGGGGAAUAACUGGGAGAAAUCUCAGCUAAUACCGCAUAACACUUACGAGUCAAAGCAGCAAUGCGCUUGAAGAGGAGUUCGCGGCAGAUUAGUUAGUUGGCGGGGUAAUGGCCCACCAAGACGAUGAUCUGUAUCCGGCCUGAGAGGGCGCACGGACACACUGGAACUGAAACACGGUCCAGACUCCUACGGGAGGCAGCAGUGGGGAAUUUUGCGCAAUGGGGGAAACCCUGACGCAGCAACGCCGCGUGGAGGAUGAAAUCCCUUGGGAUGUAAACUCCUUUCGAUCGGGACGAUUAUGACGGUACCGGAAGAAGAAGCCCCGGCUAACUUCGUGCCAGCAGCCGCGGUAAUACGAGGGGGGCAAGCGUUGUUCGGAAUUAUUGGGCGUAAAGGGCGCGUAGGCGGUUUGACAAGUCUGAUGUGAAAUCUCUGGGCUCAACCCAGAGUCUGCAUUAGAAACUGUCGGGCUUGAGUAUGGGAGAGGUGAGUGGAAUUUCCGGUGUAGCGGUGAAAUGCGUAGAUAUCGGAAGGAACACCUGUGGCGAAAGCGGCUCACUGGACCAUAACUGACGCUGAGGCGCGAAAGCUAGGGGAGCAAACAGGAUUAGAUACCCUGGUAGUCCUAGCCCUAAACGAUGAUUGCUUGGUGUGGCA